rnacentral:rRNA from 1 species
CCCGCCGGACCUGACUGCUAUCGGAUUGAUACUAAGCCAUGCGAGUCAUUGUAGCAAUACAAGGCAGACGGCUCAGUAACGCGUAGUCAACCUACCCUAUGGACGGGGAUAACCUCGGGAAACUGAGAAUAAUACCCGAUAGAACAUUAUACCUGGAAUGGUUUAUGUUUCAAAUAAUUUAUUGCCGUAGGAUGGGACUGCGGCCUAUCAGUUUGUUGGUGAGGUAAUGGCCCACCAAGACUAUUACAGGUACGGGCUCUGAGAGGAGUAGCCCGGAGAUGGGUACUGAGACACGGACCCAGGCCCUAUGGGGCGCAGCAGGCGAGAAAACUUUGCAAUGUGCGAAAGCACGACAAGGUUAAUCCGAGUGGUUUCUGCUAAAGGAACCUUUUGCCAGUCCUAGAAACACUGGUGAAUAAGGGGUGGGCAAGUUCUGGUGUCAGCCGCCGCGGUAAAACCAGCACCUCAAGUGGUCAGGAUGAUUAUUGGGCCUAAAGCAUCCGUAGCCUGCUUUGUUAGUUUUCGGUUAAAUCUGUACGCUCAACGUACAGGCUGCCGGGAAUACUGCAAAGCUAGGGAGUGGGAGAGGUAGACGGUACUCGGCAGGAAGGGGUAAAAUCCUUUGAUCUAUUGAUGACCACCUGUGGCGAAGGCGGUCUACCAGAACACGUCCGACGGUGAGGGAUGAAAGCUGGGGGAGCAAACCGGAUUAGAUACCCGGGUAGUCCCAGCUGUAAACCAUGCAAACUCAGUGAUGCAUUGGCUUGUGGCCAAUGCAGUGCUGCAGGGAAGCCGUUAGUUUGCCGCCUGGGAAGUACGUACGCAAGUAUGAAACAUAAAGGAAUUGGCGGGGGAGCACCACAA